GGCGAACGGGUGAGUAAUACAUCGGAACGUACCCAGGAGUGGGGGAUAACGUAGCGAAAGUUACGCUAAUACCGCAUAUUCUGUGAGCAGGAAAGCGGGGGAUCGCAAGACCUCGCGCUCUUGGAGCGGCCGAUGUCGGAUUAGCUAGUUGGUGAGGUAAAAGCUCACCAAGGCGACGAUCCGUAGCAGGUCUGAGAGGAUGAUCUGCCACACUGGGACUGAGACACGGCCCAGACUCCUACGGGAGGCAGCAGUGGGGAAUUUUGGACAAUGGGGGCAACCCUGAUCCAGCCAUGCCGCGUGAGUGAAGAAGGCCUUCGGGUUGUAAAGCUCUUUCGGCGGGGAAGAAAUGGCAACGGCUAAUAUCCGUUGUUGAUGACGGUACCCGCAUAAGAAGCACCGGCUAACUACGUGCCAGCAGCCGCGGUAAUACGUAGGGUGCGAGCGUUAAUCGGAAUUACUGGGCGUAAAGCGUGCGCAGGCGGUUUCGUAAGACAG
rnacentral:rRNA from 1 species